ensembl:lncRNA
AAUCAGUCUGUCUGUUAACUUUCGGUCAUCAUCACUCAUGGACGGGCUGCACACUUUUCUAGUCGCUCUCUUAGGAGUUGCAUCCUGCAGUCAUGAUUGGAUCUCUGGAUCAGUGACAGUCAGACCAGGAGACAACAUCACGCUCUACUGUGAUUGUCAACUAUCACUUGGAGUAUACAUAGUGUGGUACAGGAACUGCUCUCAUGAGAACCAGCCUCCUCUCGUCCUUAAAGUAGGCCAUAGAUCAUCCACAUUAGGAUACAAUCCGGCCAGUGACACCAAAGAUCCUCAGAAUUUUCCUCGUUUUCAAUUUGUGAGAAACUCUUCUUCUAAUUCUUAUGACCUGCUGAUCAUGAACAUCACUGAUUCUGAUGAGGGAAUCUACUACUGUGGAACUGAACAGAGAACAGUGGAGGAAAAAGCAGUCAUUGGCCGCCAAACUCUUUACAGAAACGGAAAAGUCACAACAAGAGUCUUAAUCAGUCCAGACUUCAGCCAUUCUCCGCUCCAGACUCCAGAAUGUCUCUGUCCUCUGUGUUGGACUCUGCUGGUCUCUCUGUGUCCAGCUAUUGCUGUCCUCUCCUCCGUCUUCUCCUUCAUGUUGGUUUAUCACUUCGACAAAGAAUCUCAAACUCUCCAGAAGAGACCAAACAUGACGGGACAAACCAUAGAGGGCCAGGGUGAAGAUGCGUGUUUCACUCGAGUUGUGUUCCGGGCUGUGGAGAUAAAAAAACACCAGUAGGCAGAAGAUGGACGACACGUUUGUUUCACUCAAGCAGGAACCGAACAGAAUGAAAUGAUUUGCAUUUCCUCUCGUUUGCUGUUGAUGGAGAGUUGUGUGGUUUUUUGUAUCGGACAGAUACAUAAACAUACAGUAUAUAUUUUCUUUAUUAAUCUGUUUAAUAUGUACUUUUCUAACCUUUCUAACUUUGUAUCCAUUUUUAUCCACAUGCUUAUAGCUAACUUGCUUUUAUUCUUGAUUUGUCAGCAAUUUAAGGCAAGGCAAGGCAAUUUUAUUUGUAUAGCGCUUUUCAUACACAAGGCAGACUCAAAGUGCUUCACAUCAUAACAUUUCAUACAAUAAAGUGAAAUAAAAUGCAGGAAUUAAAAACAGAAAAUAAAAUUAAUAAUUAAAAUCUUAUUUAAAUUGUUUAAUUAAAGGCAGAGGUUAAAAGUGCAAUGUAGGUGUAAUUUAGCAGAAGGCGAAGCUGAACAUAAGUUUUCAGUCUUGUUUUAAACGUGGUCAGAGUUGGGGCUUAAAGUCUUAAAUCUUCAGGAAGUUUGUUCCAGCUGUUUGUUGCUAGUAACUAAAUGAUACUUUCCCAUGACUUGUAUUUACUCUGGGAAUCACUAACAGAUUGGUGUCAAGAUCUUAGUGAUCUUGAAGGCUUAUGUAGUGGAAGCAUAUCAGUGAUAUACUUUGGCCCUAAAGCAUGUAGUGAUUUAUAUGUGAGCAGUAGGAUUUUGAAAUUAAUUAUCUGACAUACUGGGUUGUACAAUUUUACAAUAUUUUCUUUAAGUAUGCAAAUAAAACAAAAUAGUAUGAAAGUACUUAAUAUAUAUACAAAGUUAUGUCUGUGACAUCUCAUUACAUAAUGUGAUUGCUGAAUAAAAUAAUACAAAGUCCUUGUGAUGAG